rnacentral:lncRNA from 1 species
UCUUGUUUGGUUGGGGGGUUAAGGGGUGGAAUAACCCCUUAACCUCCCCAAACACCCUAAAAAAUAGGUGGGAUUAGCUAACCCCACCUAACCUCACCUCAAAUAAAUUAUCCCGGGUUAGCUAACCCCACCUAACCCCAUCAAACUCCAACCAAACACUAUUUUCUAUUCAUAAUAACUCACUAUCUUUCUUAUCACACAUACUCCAACCAAUCAUCAUUCUUCUUUAUCAAUCACUAUCUUUUUAUCCCACCUACCCAACCAAACACUAUUUUUCAUUAUUCUAGACUAACUCCAACCCCCAACCAAACACAAAAAAACUUUAACCCCACUUUAACCCUGAACUUAACUCUAUCCCUGGAAUAGCUACUUUUUCCUUAACCCCGAACCAAACGGAGGCUUAUUAAUUCAUCUUAUACACUUAUUAAUUCAUAUGUUAUUGCAUAGUAACAGAAUAA